UGGCGGACGGGUGAGUAAUGUCUGGGAAACUGCCCGAUGGAGGGGGAUAACUACUGGAAACGGUAGCUAAUACCGCAUAACGUCGCAAGACCAAAGAGGGGGACCUUCGGGCCUCUUGCCAUCGGAUGUGCCCAGAUGGGAUUAGCUAGUAGGUGGGGUAACGGCUCACCUAGGCGACGAUCCCUAGCUGGUCUGAGAGGAUGACCAGCCACACUGGACUGAGACACGGCCAG
rnacentral:rRNA from 1 species